rnacentral:rRNA from 1 species
CCCAGACUCCUACGGGAGGCAGCAGUGGGGAAUAUUGCACAAUGGGGGGAACCCUGAUGCAGCAACGCCGCGUGAGUGAAGAAGUAUUUCGGUAUGUAAAGCUCUAUCAGCAGGGAAGAAAAUGACGGUACCUGAGUAAGAAGCCCCGGCUAACUACGUGCCAGCAGCCGCGGUAAUACGUAGGGGGCAAGCGUUAUCCGGAUUUACUGGGUGUAAAGGGAGCGUAGACGGCGAUGCAAGUCUGAAGUGAAAGCCCGGGGCUCAACCCCGGGACUGCUUUGGAAACUGUAUGGCUGGAGUGCUGGAGAGGCAAGCGGAAUUCCUAGUGUAGCGGUGAAAUGCGUAGAUAUUAGGAAGAACACCAGUGGCGAAGGCGACUAUCUGGCACAUAACUGACGCUGAGGAGCGAAAGCGUGGGUAGCAAACAGGAUUAGAUACCCUGGUAGC